GGACGAGAAGCUCAUAUGGAUGAGCGACUGAUUGUUAAUCAGAAGGAAGUAGGUUCGAACCCUGCCUUGUCCG
rnacentral:tRNA from 1 species